rnacentral:rRNA from 1 species
UUUGYCAAGUYGAACGGUCCGCAAGGCUAGUGGCGAACGGGUGAGUAACGCGUUGGUGACCUGCCCUGAAGAGGGGGAUAACGGAUCGAAAGAUCAGCUAAUACCGCAUAAGCUCUUACUAGUUAGAGAGGUAAGAGGAAAGCCGAAAGGCGCUUUAGGAGGGACCUGCGUCCCAUCAGCUAGUUGGUAAGGUAGUGGCUUACCAAGGCGAUGACGGGUAGGGGACCUGAGAGGGUGGCCCCCCACAAUGGAACUGAAACACGGUCCAUACACCUACGGGUGGCAGCAGUAGGGAAUAUUGGUUAAUGGGCGAAAGCCUGACCCAGCAACGCCGCGUGAACGAUGAAGGCCUUCGGGUUGUAAAGUUCUUUUGACCGGGAUGAGGAAGGACAGUACCGGUCGAAUAAGUCUCGGCUAACUACGUGCCAGCAGCCGCGGUAACACGUAGGAGACGAGCGUUAUCCGGAUUUACUGGGUGUAAAGCGCGUGCAGGCGGUAUGGUAAGUUGGAUGUGAAAGCUCCCGGCUUAACUGGGAGAGGUCGUACAAGACUGCCAAACUAGAGGACAGCAGAGGGGAGUGGAAUUCCGAGUGUASCGGUAAAAUGCAUAGAUAUUCGGAAGAACACCAGUGGCGAAGGCGGCUCUCUGGGCUGUACCUGACGCUCAGACGCGAAAGCUAGGGGUAGCAAACGGGAUUAGAGACCCCCGGUAGUCCUAGCCGUAAACGAUGUGAACUUGGCGUAGGUGGGUUCAAAUCCAUCUGUGCCGCAGCAAACGCGAUAAGUUCACCACCUGGGGGACUACGGCYCGCAAGGGUUAAAAACUCAAAGGAAAUUUGACGGGGGCCCCGCACCA